GAGAAGUUAACUUUAUGGAAAGUUUAUGCUUUGAAAGCAUACUAAAAGAGUUCAAUUCCCUUACUUCUUC
rnacentral:tRNA from 1 species